UAAUACGUAGGGUGCGAGCGUUAAUCGGAAUUACUGGGCGUAAAGCGUGCGCAGGCGGCUUUGUAAGACAGAUGUGAAAUCCCCGGGCUCAACCUGGGAACUGCAUUUGUGACUGCAAGGCUAGAGUGCGUCAGAGGGAGGUGGAAUUCCGCGUGUAGCAGUGAAAUGCGUAGAGAUGCGGAGGAACACCGAUGGCGAAGGCAGCCUCCUGGGAUGACACUGACGCUCAUGCACGAAAGCGUGGGGAGCAAACAGG
rnacentral:rRNA from 1 species